rnacentral:rRNA from 1 species
GACGAACGCUGGCGGCGUGCUUAACACAUGCAAGUCGAACGGAAAGGCCCUGCUUUUGUGGGGUGCUCGAGUGGCGAACGGGUGAGUAACACGUGAGUAACCUGCCCUUGACUUAGGGAUAACUUCAGGAAACUGGGGCUAAUACCGGAUAGGAGCUCCUGCUGCAUGGUGGGGGUUGGAAAGUUUCGGCGGUUGGGGAUGGACUCGCGGCUUAUCAGCUUGUUGGUGGGGUAGUGGCUUACCAAGGCUUUGACAGGUAGCCGGCCUGAGAGGGUGACCGGCCACAUUGGGACUGAGAUACGGCCCAGACUCCUACGGGAGGCAGCAGUGGGGAAUAUUGCACAAUGGGCGGAAGCCUGAUGCAGCAACGCCGCGUGCGGGAUGACGGCCUUCGGGUUGUAAACCGCUUUCGCCUGUGACGAAGCGUGAGUGACGGUAAUGGGUAAAGAAGCACCGGCUAACUACGUG